UACGAAGGGGGCGAGCGUUAUUCGGAAUCACUGGGCGUAAAGGGUGCGUAGGCGGGUCUUUAAGUCAGGGGUGAAAUCCUGGAGCUCAACUCCAGAACUGCCUUUGAUACUGAGGAUCUUGAGUUCGGGAGAGGUGAGUGGAACUGCGAGUGUAGAGGUGAAAUUCGUAGAUAUUCGCAAGAACACCAGUGGCGAAGGCGGCUCACUGGCCCAUUACUGACGCUGAGGCACGAAAGCGUGGGGAGCAAACAGG
rnacentral:rRNA from 1 species